CCCAGAAACAAACCCAUACCCUAAUACCUGAACCCACCGCCCAUCCCCACUGAUGACCCCGCCGCCCACCCACGCCCGCAACUCUAUUUCACCGGCCGUGACCCCGCUGCACCGCAAAGCCAAGCUCAGAUCCACCACCCACGUCCCCUCUCGCCAGCCCAUUUCAUGAUCUCGCCCCUCUUCCUCCGACGAACCCCACCGAGCCGCCUUCUAAUCCUAGGCUGCUGCCUUAAACCCAGGCCUCCGCUUCUCUUCGCACUGACUUUUCUUCACCUCCUCGCCAAUACUAUCCAGAUUCGCGAGGUCCACAACCAGAUCGACCGCUCCGAUUUCAAAUAACAAUGGACGCCAAGAGUGUUGCUUCUCAGCUAAAAAGUUCUGGUCUAUUACGUACCCAGGGCCUUAUUGGUCGGAAAUGGACAGCCGCAUGUGACGGGAAAACUAUAGAGAUGUUAUACCAUCGUGUCAACUAUCAAAGAGACAAUAAAGAAGGCACAUAGUUCGACAGUGGUUGAACUGAAUCAGCACAAACUCCUGAAAACCAUCUCUUUGUUGAGUAAACUUAGAGCUGCUUCAAGUUAAAGGGCUUGAUAAGCUGAUUCGACCAAUGAGGUUUUGCUGAAGUUUCGACAUCCAGUUAGCGCAUCCGCUUUGAAGGAUAGACUGAUUGCAACACAGGGCACUGACAAUUGGUGGGAACUCAAUAAUUCUAACCUUAUCGUACCAUGUAACAUAGAAGAAUGGCAAGAAAGAAGGUAAUUUUGAUUCUUGAAGGAGGAACUUGGUCUUACUGUGGGGUUUUCAUGCUCCUUAACCGCACUUAAGAGUGAACUUCCCCUGAAAAACUAACAUUUAUUGUCUUAAGAACGUCGACCAUCAGCCUAUUCAUGCAUAAAAGCCGAAUAUAGAAGAACCGACAAACUUUCGUUUAAAUCGCAUGUUUUCCCACGCGUUGCUUGUGAUUUUGUGAAUUAUAAGCAGUUCAAGUUUAGCUCAUUUUGGAUUUUAGUUUCUGCUAGUUGCAUCCUAACAAGUGCAGUA